rnacentral:rRNA from 1 species
GCAGCCGCGGUAAUUCCAGCUCCAAUAGCGUAUAUUAAAAUUGUUGCAGUUAAAAAGCUCGUAGUUGAAUUUCUGCUGCAUUGCUUGUGUCCCUCUGGGGUCUGUGCAUGUGGCUUUUUUCGGACGGAGUUUCUUUGUCUGAAUGUUUACUUUGAGAAAAUUAGAGUGCUCAAAGCAGGCUUUCGCCUUGAAUAGUUUAGCAUGGAAUAAUAAAGUAGGACUUUGGUUCUAUUUUGUUGGUUUUAGGUACCAAAGUAAUGGUUAAUAGGAACAGUUGGGGGCAUUCGUAUUUAACUGUCAGAGGUGAAAUUCUUAGAUUUGUUAAAGACGAACUACUGCGAAAGCAUUUGCCAAGGAUGUUUUCAUUAAUCAAGAACGAAAGUUAGGGGAUCGAAGACGAUCAGAUACCGUCGUAG